rnacentral:misc_RNA from 1 species
CGGUCAGGCAGACCUGUCGUCUUACGGCAGGUUCUCUGACCAACCAUUUUGAACUCUACUCUACUUUCUUUUUGGUUCUUCACAUCCUCUAGAUUUAUGCAGUCUUGAAGGGAAUCAAGUCAAUAUUCCCGCUAGCAU